rnacentral:rRNA from 1 species
ACGCACGCUGGCGGCGUGCUUAACACAUGCAAGUCGCACGAAGCUUGAUUACGGAUUCUUCGGAUGAAGUAUGAUAUGACUGAGUGGCGGACGGGUGAGUAACGCGUGAGUAACCUGCCCUUCAGAGGGGGAUAGCGUUUGGAAACGAACGGUAAUACCGCAUAAUGUAUUUUGACCGCAUGAUCGAAAUACCAAAGAUUUAUCGCUGAAGGAUGGACUCGCGUCUGAUUAGGUAGUUGGUGGGGUAACGGCCUACCAAGCCGACGAUCAGUAGCCGGACUGAGAGGUUGAUCGGCCACAUUGGGACUGAGACACGGCCCAGACUCCUACGGGAGGCAGCAGUGGGGAAUAUUGCACAAUGGGCGCAAGCCUGAUGCAGCAACGCCGCGUGAAGGAAGACGGUUUUCGGAUUGUAAACUUCUGUUCUUAGGGAAGAAUAAUGACGGUAGCUAAGGAGCAAGCCACGGCUAACUACGUG